rnacentral:sRNA from 1 species
AUUUUUAGUAGAGACGGAGUUUCACCGUGUUAGCCAGGAUGGUCUUGAUCUCCUGACCUCGUGAUCCGCCCACCUCUGCCUCCCAAAGUCCUGGGAUUACAGGCUUGAGCCACUGUGCCCGGCCCGUUUUGUUUUCUUUUUGUAGAAAGAAUAAAAAUAUUGUUUUGAUCAGGUUUUGGAACGUUUGAAAAACAGAGAAAAAUGGGACUCACAUACAACUGUUAAGAUUUUGUGUGUAUUCCUUGCAAACGUAGUUUACAGAGGGUGUGCAGAGUCCCUAGAUAUACUGGAGUCCUCACUGAGCUGAAGUUACCCUGUGAAAUGGACUUCAGUGGAAAAGAUGUCAGCGGAGUGUUGUUCCAGUACCCAGACACGGAGGGGAAGGUGGAAGACUUUACGGAACUCGUGGAGAGAGCUCAUCAGAGUGGGAGCCUGGCCUGCUGUGCUACUGACCUUUUAGCUUUGUGCAUCUUGAGGCCACCUGGAGAAUUUGGGGUAGACAUCGCCCUGGGCAGCUCCCAGAGAUUUGGAGUGCCACUGGGCUAUGGGGGACCCCACGCAGCAUUUUUUGCUGUCCGAGAAAGCUUGGUGAGAAUGAUGCCUGGAAGAAUGGUGGGGGUAACAAGAGACGCCACUGGGAAAGAAGUGUAUCGUCUUACUCUUCAAACCAGGGAGCAACACAUUCGGAGAGACAAGGCUACCAGCAACAUCUGUACAGCUCAGGCCCUCUUGGCGAAUAUGGCUGCCAUGUUUGCAAUCUACCAUGGUUCCCAUGGGCUGGAGCAUAUUGCUAGGAGGGUACAUAAUGCCACUUUGAUUUUGUCAGAAGGUCUCAAGCGAGCAGGGCAUCAACUCCAGCAUGACCUGUUCUUUGAUACCUUGAAGAUUCAGUGUGGCUGCUCAGUGAAGGAGGUCUUGGGCAGGGCCGCUCAGCGGCAGAUCAAUUUUCGGCUUUUUGAGGAUGGCACACUUGGUAUUUCUCUUGAUGAAACAGUCAAUGAAAAAGAUCUGGAUGAUUUGUUGUGGAUCUUUGGUUGUGAGUCAUCUGCAGAACUGGUUGCUGAAAGCAUGGGAGAGGAGUGCAGAGGUAUUCCAGGGUCUGUGUUCAAGAGGACCAGCCCGUUCCUCACCCAUCAAGUGUUCAACAGCUACCACUCUGAAACAAACAUUGUCCGGUACAUGAAGAAACUGGAAAAUAAAGACAUUUCCCUUGUUCACAGCAUGAUUCCACUGGGAUCCUGCACCAUGAAACUGAACAGUUCGUCUGAACUCGCACCUAUCACAUGGAAAGAAUUUGCAAACAUCCACCCCUUUGUGCCUCUGGAUCAAGCUCAAGGAUAUCAGCAGCUUUUCCGAGAGCUUGAGAAGGAUUUGUGUGAACUCACAGGUUAUGACCAGGUCUGUUUCCAGCCAAACAGCGGAGCCCAGGGAGAAUAUGCUGGACUGGCCACUAUCCGAGCCUACUUAAACCAGAAAGGAGAGGGGCACAGAACGGUUUGCCUCAUUCCGAAAUCAGCACAUGGGACCAACCCAGCAAGUGCCCACAUGGCAGGCAUGAAGAUUCAGCCUGUGGAGGUGGAUAAAUAUGGGAAUAUCGAUGCAGUUCACCUCAAGGCCAUGGUGGAUAAGCACAAGGAGAACCUAGCAGCUAUCAUGAUUACAUACCCGUCCACCAAUGGGGUGUUUGAAGAGAACAUCAGUGACGUGUGUGACCUCAUCCAUCAACAUGGAGGACAGGUCUACCUAGACGGGGCAAAUAUGAAUGCUCAGGUGGGAAUCUGUCGCCCUGGAGACUUUGGGUCUGAUGUCUCGCACCUAAAUCUUCACAAGACCUUCUGCAUUCCCCACGGAGGAGGUGGUCCUGGCAUGGGGCCCAUCGGAGUGAAGAAACAUCUCGCCCCGUUUUUGCCCAAUCAUCCCGUCAUUUCACUAAAGCGGAAUGAGGAUGCCUGUCCUGUGGGAACCGUCAGUGCGGCCCCAUGGGGCUCCAGUUCCAUCUUGCCCAUUUCCUGGGCUUAUAUCAAGAUGAUGGGAGGCAAGGGUCUUAAACAAGCCACGGAAACUGCGAUAUUAAAUGCCAACUACAUGGCCAAGCGAUUAGAAAAACACUACAGAAUUCUUUUCAGGGGUGCAAGAGGUUAUGUGGGUCAUGAAUUUAUUUUGGACACGAGACCCUUCAAAAAGUCUGCAAAUAUUGAGGCUGUGGAUGUGGCCAAGAGACUCCAGGAUUAUGGAUUUCACGCCCCUACCAUGUCCUGGCCUGUGGCAGGGACCCUCAUGGUGGAGCCCACUGAGUCGGAGGACAAGGCAGAGCUGGACAGAUUCUGUGAUGCCAUGAUCAGCAUUCGGCAGGAAAUUGCUGACAUUGAGGAGGGCCGCGUCGACCCCAGGGUCAAUCCGCUGAAGAUGUCUCCACACUCCCUGACCUGCGUUACAUCUUCCCACUGGGACCGGCCUUAUUCCAGAGAGGUGGCAGCAUUCCCACUCCCCUUCGUGAAACCAGAGAACAAAUUCUGGCCAACGAUUGCCCGGAUUGAUGACAUAUAUGGAGAUCAGCACCUGGUUUGUACCUGCCCACCCAUGGAAGUUUAUGAGUCUCCAUUUUCUGAACAAAAGAGGGCGUCCUCUUAGUCCUGUCUCCCUAAGUUUAAAGGACUGAUUUGAUGCCUCUCCCUAGAGCAUUUGAUAAGCAAGAAAGAUUUCAUCUCCCACCCCAGCCUCAAGUAG